rnacentral:sRNA from 1 species
AGGCGGCUGAGCGGCGCGACUCUCAACCUGACGGGGAAGUGGUCCGGGCGGCCGCGGCUGACUACCCCAGGGCGAACGGACGGACGACGGAGGCGGGAGCCGGGAGCCGAGCCGGGCGACCUAGAGGGCGAGCGGGUCAGGCUCAGCGUCGGCCACUCUGUCGGUCCGCUGAAUGAAGUGCCCGCCCCUCUGAGCCCGGAGCCCGGCGCUUUCCCCGCAAGAUGGACGGUUUCGCCGGCAGUCUCGUGAAGAUUGGUAAUUGAGAGUCCUGAAAAUGGCAGUAUUUGGAUAUGAGUACACUACAGUAUUGACACUCUGAAAGUUGGACAUCAGUAUGCGAGAGCCUACUUUGUGAUAGCAGCUCACACUUUCUAUUUCAUCUCUUCUUUGGUGGACAGAUGAUAGUAUUUCUGCUGCAAGUACUUCUGAUGUUCAAGAUCGCCUGUCAGCUCUUGAGUCACGAGUUCAGCAACAAGAAGAUGAAAUCACUGUGCUAAAGGCAGCUUUGGCUGAUGUUUUGAGGCGUCUUGCAAUCUCUGAAGAUCAUGUGGCCUCAGUGAAAAAAUCAGUCUCAAGUAAAGG